AUGUUACCUGCUGAAGUCAUAUAUGAACAGAAUACACCUAUUGUGACAUCAGAAGGGACAUAUAAUACUAUUAAAGUGGUCAACGUGACAAAAGCCUCAGAGGUAUCCUGCACGGCCAAGUUCAAGGGCAAUUUUUUUCCAGCCAAUGCAACAUCAUCAGAAAAGGUGGUUGAAGAACCAAUAACAGCAAAUGUUUGCAACACAACAGACACCUCUUCAAAAGGAGAUAUCAAAACAGAGAAAACAAACAUGCUGUCCAUGGCUGUGUUGGGUUUACGAGUCCUGCUGGCAAAAAGUAUCGCCUUCAAUACACUCAUGAGCAUCAAGUUGUUUCUUUUCUGAGGCAAUGAGGAAUCAAGGCAGAAGAAAGCUGAGAAACAGCAGGAGAGAGCAGUUACCAGCAGUACAAUUUGAAGAGCUGACGUUAAAUCUGUUGACAACAAUCAUCUAGAACAGAACACAGCACCAUCUCCUUAAGACAUUUCAGAGUGUGGACCCCUGCCUAGAUAGUUUAUAUAAUUUUUAGAGUUGUAAUUCCUUUUGCUAUUUCUUGUUUUCUGUGAGCAGAGGAAAGUAUUUUUCCUCAUCUGUCAGCUAAGUAGAAAUUGAUACUUCCACUUUUCUAUCCUUUGCAUGCAAGCAUCCAACCUGCUUUGAUAGUUUUGAAAAAAAAAAAAUUGAAACCUCAAUAUCGAUAUAUGAACUUUUAAAAAUACCUUUUUACAGCAAUGUUGCAUUAUUCUGUAGAACUGAUAUUUUACUUCUGAGAGAGGCACAGUAGAUGUUAUUUAUAUAUAUAUAUAUAUUAAGAUACCUUUAAUAACCAUAAUUUUCUAGUAUAGAUGAGAAGAGCUGCAUUGGAUCUGAAGGGAUGCACUUCAACCAGAUAAUACUCAACUGUAGUAACAUUUUUAUUUCCAUUUCUUUAUUAAAUUUGUAUCUUUUCUGCAAAGUGUAUGGCAUCUGCAUUUUAUGUUACUGUAGCGAUUAUCAAAAUAAAAUGUUAUUACACCAAAAUGCUGUAGUUUGA
rnacentral:lncRNA from 1 species